ACGGCGAUGGCUGGGUCUGCGUAUAUAUAUGUGUGUAUGUACAUGUCUGUGGAUGGAGACGCUGUUAGCAGUGGUGGUUCGAGACCAUGGAAAGCCGAAUGAACCGACCUAGACGUGCGUAUCGAGGACGUUAAUAAGUAGUCGAAUUGCAAAUCAAGUCGAAUCUGGAAUGAUCUGAUAAGACGAAGCUAUGUCGUGGAUGGAAUCUUGUUCAAAGCAAAGCGAGAAUAAACAGUAUAGGAAAGGCUCUACUAGGUGACAGGAAAAUAGGUUCUUUGAACAAGAAGGAAAGCGAAUAAGGCAAGUAACUUUCCUCUCUCUCUCUCUCAUGCAACUUAUUGAUGACUGAUGAUAAGUUCUGUCAACCUGAACUACCUUUUGAAUUAUGAAAGCCUGAUUUCCUUUCUCAUUGAAUAUGAUGUCUCACUUUUGAAUACAAGCUCUUUCAUGAUGAUCAUGCUCUUGUAUCCGGUAUAUUGCUAUCUUGAAAUAUCUUUCACUUGAUCGAAUGAUGUUUUCUUUUCAUGUACUUGACCCCACAAGAAUAUGACACUUGUUUCGGUAAAUGAAACUAAGAAUGAUUUUAGACUUGCAAGUGAUUGCAAGUGUCCUAAUGAUUUGAAAGGUUGGUAAGUUUAAAAUAAAAGAUGUUUUUUUUAAAAGAAGAAAGUUUUCCAAUUUAAUGGUUUUCCACGGAAUUCUAUUGAUUGGAGGCGUAAGUGGCCGAGUAACGCCGGUCCAACUAUUUGAUUAUGAAGACCAGUGAGGGCUGGCACAUUAUGAAGACUAGUGAGGGCUGGCAUUUGAAAGGCCAAAUGAUAGUUGCCUUUCGGGUACCCUAUUCACGUCCAGAGGGGCUGUAAAGUCCGGUAUGGGGAUUGUACGUGGCUGAUCACCCGUGCAAUCCAAAGCGUUAUACACUCCAAUCGAGUAAAAUGUUUUAUGAAAAUAAAUAUCCAUGUAAUUGGACUAUUUUGAAAAUGAGGUGAUUUUCGAGAUUGAAAAUGAAGCUUAAAUGAAUGGAGCGUUUUGAAAGAAUAUAUUAUGAAAAGGGAAAUUAUAUGAAAGUUAUGAGGAAUGAAUGGUUUUUAUGAACUUAUGGUUUAUAAAUUGGUUUCUUUGGAAUGAUCCUUAAUUUUGGAACCUAUGUUGAAAAUUUUGUAUCUUUGCUUAUAAUCAGAACCUCCUGUCUUAUUCCGUUGAACCGUUGACUUAUUUAUUUACCAUAGUUACUUGCUGAGCUUUUGUAGCUCAUUCUGUUGUUUAUCUAACCCUUUCAGCUAGAUACAAAGAUGGUUCGCCUGUUUGGGCUGCGCUUAAGAAUAACGCUAGGCAAGGAUUCCAAGUGAGUAUGUCAGACCUCGAUGGUCAGGUGAAGUAUUUUGGAAGAUGUCAAGGGAACUAGUUGUGAUUAAGAUAGUAUAAUUUUGAUUCAUAUGUAAAGCGGAUUUAAGUUUUGGUUAUCAGUUAUUCUUCUUGUCGAAGUUUAUCUGGUAAUGUAGAAUAUGUUGUAAUAAGAUUUAUAUUUUCGAUUUUCUGAUUUCAAUACUAUAGCCUGUAUGCGAUCCUGUUUUCAGGGGGUGAAAUUGAAUUCUACUUUAAAUCAUUUUAAAAAUUUCCAGGUUUCGAAAUAAUUGCUUUUAACUUCUUUUAGAAAUACAGGUUUUAAAUUGUUUUUCUUUUAGUGGCUCCAAAUCCAGACCCCCGGAUUUGAGGGAUGUCACA
rnacentral:lncRNA from 1 species